rnacentral:rRNA from 1 species
AUUGAACGCUGGCGGCAGGCUUAACACAUGCAAGUCGAGCGGAGCGAGGGUGCUUGCACCUUAGCUUAGCGGCGGACGGGUGAGUAAUGCUUAGGAAUCUGCCUAUUAGUGGGGGACAACAUUCCGAAAGGAAUGCUAAUACCGCAUACGCCCUACGGGGGAAAGAAGGGGAUCUUCGGACCUUGCGCUAAUAGAUGAGCCUAAGUCGGAUUAGCUAGUUGGUGGGGUAAAGGCCUACCAAGGCGACGAUCUGUAGCGGGUCUGAGAGGAUGAUCCGCCACACUGGGAAUGAGACACGGCCCAGACUCCUACGGGAGGCAGCAGUGGGGAAUAUUGGACAAUGGGGGGAACCCUGAUCCAGCCAUGCCGCGUGUGUGAAGAAGGCCUUAUGGUUGUAAAGCACUUUAAGCGAGGAGGAGGCUCUUUUGGUUAAUACCCAAGAUGAGUGGACGUUACUCGCAGAAUAAGCACCGGCUAACUCUGUGCCAGCAGCAGCCGCGGUAA